ACAACCUCGGCACAAUGCCUGAGAGCAGCCCGGCCUACAGCAUCCCCAGGAAGAUGGCCUCCAACUUGGAAGACAUCCUGAUGGACGAUGCCCUCUCACCUGUCGGCGUCACCGACCCACUGCUGUCAUCAGUGUCCCCAGGAGCUUCGAAAACAAGCAGCCGGAGGAGCAGUAUGAGCGCAGAAGAAACGGAGCAUGCGUGUUAGCGAGCUUGCCUUGUUCUGCCUCAACACGGACUGCUCCCUCUCUUCUUCUUCAGUAGACUUCACAAUGUACCUGAAGAGGUUUUCUUGAUAAUUUUCCUUUAAUAUGAAUUUUUCGUGCUUUACCAGUAGCCCAGGAUAUAUUUUAUUUUUAGAAUUUUGUGAGCCAGACUUGUAUAUUCUAUUUUACAACUACAAAGGCCUCCUAAGUAUUGUACCUUCAGCGUGCAGUAUCUGUGAACUGAUUUCUCGAAGCGUGAGCUUUCUGAGCAAGGGGAUUUUUGCUUCAGAGAAGUAAGUGUCUGUCCGUUUUCAUUCAGGGGAAAACUUCGUGUGAGCUCUGUCUGUCUGUGACCUCCUUUGAAAUUAACAUGUAAAGUUUAAUUACAUGAAUGUAAAGCAACCAAAAGAAGAAAACAAAGAAGAUGAUGAUGAUUAUAGAAGAAGAAGAAGAAGAAGAAGAAGAAGAAGAAGAAGAAGAAGAAGAAGAAGAAGAAGAAGAAGAAGAAGAAGAAGAAGAAGAAGAAGAAGAAGAGAAGCCUUUCUCACUUUAUAAAUGUGUCGAUUCCCUGGUACUGCCUUAAAGACACAGUGCUCUCUCAGCAUUACCGCGUCUUUGUACUGAAAACUGCUUAAAAGCAGAAUAUAUUACAUACAGACAAAUCUAGCAGUCAUUUUCAUGAGGAUUGUCUAACUAGAAAUUGUAACUUAUGCUAACCCAAACUGAAAGAAGUUAUUAGACCAAGGCAUGAAGCGUAGGACCUGACCUGCUGGCUUUUAUUGGGCACAGUUAUAGUUUUCCUCAUAAUAAGUGUGAUUCAAUUUUUCAUAAGAUUUUUUCGAAACGGAAAUGAAUGUCCUCUCUGAAUAAAAAACAUCGAGGAGCAUCGGAAGUUUGUUUCACUUUUUUUGUUUUUUCCAUUUUUGCUUUUGAUAAAGACAACCGAACUGGGCGCCUUUCUAAUUGGCUUUACUAUUUUUAUUUUUAAAUUAUGUUUUAGCCUUUUUAAUUGUAUAGAGUCUUUAUUAUCGUCAUUUUUUUCAGUGUUUGUAUUAAUUUAUAAGAAUGUGCAUCUUAAAAUGG
rnacentral:lncRNA from 1 species